GGCGCACGGGUGAGUAACACGUGAAUUACAUGCCCUUCAGUGGGGAAUAGCCCAGGGAAACUUGGAUUAAUACCCCAUAGUCUCGCAAGAGUAAAGGUGGCCGCAAGGCUGUCGCUGAAGGAUGAGCUCGCGGCCUAUCAGCUAGUUGGUGAGGUAAAGGCUCACCAAGGCGACGACGGGUAGCCGGCCUGAGAGGGUGACCGGCCACACUGGAACUGAGAUACGGUCCAGACUCCUACGGGAGGCAGCAGUGGGGAAUAUUGCACAAUGGGCGAAAGCCUGAUGCAGCAACGCCGCGUGAGGGAUGAAGGCCUUCGGGUUGUAAACCUCUUUUAGCAGGGAAGAAGCGAAAGUGACGGUACCUGCAGAAAAAGCACCGGCUAACUACGUGCCAGCAGCCGCGGUAAUACGUAGGGUGCAAGCGUUGUCCGGAAUUAUUGGGCGUAAAGAGCUCGUAGGCGGUUUGUCGCGUCUGCUGUGAAAAUCCAAGGCUCAACCUUGGACCUGCAGUGGGUACGGGCAGACUAGAGUGCGGUAGGGGAGAUGGGAAUUCCUGGUGUAGCGGUGGAAUGCGCAGAUAUCAGGAGGAACACCAAUGGCGAAGGCACAUCUCUGGGCCGUAACUGACGCUGAGGAGCGAAAGCGUGGGGAGCGAACAGGAUUAGAUACCCUGGUAGUCCACGCCGUAAACGGUGGGUGCUAGCUGUGGGCCACAUUCCACGUGGUCCGUGACGAAGUUAACACAUUAAGCACCCCGCCUGGGGAGUACGGUCGCAAGACUAAAACUCAAAGGAAUUGACGGGGGCCCGCACAAGCGGCGGAGCAUGCGG
rnacentral:rRNA from 1 species